UGUUGCCUGCAAGGGCGUAUGGUGGAUGCCUUGGCAGACAGGACCGAUGAAGGACGUUUGAGGCUGCGAUAUGCCUCGGGGAGCCGCCAACAGGGCUUUGAUCCGAGGAUUUCCGAAUGGGGGAACCCACCGGCCGUCAUGGGCCGGUACCGCCGUGUGCGGGGGGUACGCAGGGAAGUGAAACAUCUCAGUACCUGCAGGAAAGGAUAUUCCGUGAGUAGUGGCGAGCGAAAGCGGAUCAGGCCAAACCUUGCGCGUGUGAUACCCGUCGGGGGUUGCGCGCGGGGUGUAGAGGGAUCGCGUUUGCCGGCUCCGACGGGCCGGCCGUCAGUUGCAUAAAACCAUGUGCCAGGGGAACCGGGUUGAAUACCGGGCCGCAGAGGGUGAGGGCCCCGUACCCGAACGCGCAUGGUCUGGCGAUCGCGUCUCCCAAGUAGCACGGGCCCCGUGGAAUCCCGUGCGAAUCUGUCCCGACCGUGGGAUAAGCCUAAAUAUUCCUGUCUGACCGAUAGCGAACGAGUACCGUGAGGGAAAGGUGAAAAGUACCCCGGGAGGGGAGUGAAACAGUCUCUGAAACCAUGCGCCUACGAACCGUCGGGGCCCUCUUGUGGGGUGACGGCGUGCCUAUCGAAAAAUGAGUCUGCGAGUCAGUGGCAUGUGGCGAGCAUAACCCGUGUGGGGUAUGCGUAGCGAAGGCGAGUCUUAAAAGGCGUUUGAGUCGCGUGUCCUGGACCCGAAGCGGGAUGAUCUAGCCCUGAGCAGGUUGAAGCGCGGGUAAGACCGUGUGGAGGACCGAACCCACCUGGGUUGAAAACCGGGGGGAUGACUUGGGGCUAGGGGUGAAAGGCCAAUCAAAUUCCGUGAUAGCUGGUUCUCUCCGAAAUGCAUUUAGGUGCAGCGUCGGAUCGAUUACAUCCGGGGGGUAGAGCGACUGGAUGCUUGCGGGCCCAUAUCGGGUACCAACAGCAACCAAACUCCGAAUACCCGUGAUGCGUAUCCCGGCAGUGAGUCGGCGGGGGAUAAGCUCCGUCGUCGAAAGGGAAACAGCCCAGAUCGUCGUCUAAGGUCCCCAAGCGUGUGCUAAGUGGGAAAGGAUGUGGAGUCGCAUAGACAGCCAGGAGGUUGGCUCAGAAGCAGCCACCCUUGAAAGAGUGCGUAACAGCUCACUGGUCUAGUGGUUCCGCGCCGACAAUGUAGCGGGGCUCAAGCACACCACCGAAGACGCGGCAGUAGCUUUGCUACUGGGUAGGAGAGCGUCCCAUGCGGGGCGAAGCGGCGGCGCAAGCCCGCCGUGGACCGCAUGGGAGUGAGAAUGCAGACAUGAGUAGCGAAAGACGGGUGAAGAUCCCGUCCGCUGGACGACCAAGGGUUCCAGGGCCACGUUCAUCGUCCCUGGGUGAGUCGGGUCCUAAGGCGAGGCCGACAGGCGUAGUCGAAUGGACGAACGGGUCGAUAUUCCCGUACCGGCAUGCAACCGGCAAAACCGAAUCCGCGAGUACUAACCUCCGGGUCCGGGCUCACGUCUCCUUCGGGAGCCGGAUGCCCUGGCCUGUUGGGACCGUAACGGUAGUAGGUCAGCGCGGGAGUGACGCAGAAGGGUAGCCGGCCGCGGAGGUGGUCUUCCGUGGUCAAGCACGCAGCCCGUCCCACAGGCAAAUCCGUGGGGCGCGUGGGCGAGGUGCGAUGAUGGGCGCCGCAGGGCGCGAUAUCCGGUGAUCCCGGCUGCCGAGAAAAGCUUCGGCGUGAGGCGGCAUGCCGCCCGUACCCCAAACCGACACUGGUGGUCAGGUAGAGAAUACCAAAGCGAUCGAGCGAAUCCUGGUCAAGGAACUCGGCAAAUCACUCCCGUUCCUUCGGUUCAAGGGAGACCCCCGAUGGUGAAGCGGCUUGCCCGCGGAGCUUUUGGGGGUGGCACAGACCAGGGGGUAGCGACUGUUUACCAAAAACACAGGAGCGUGCGAAGGCGCAAGCCGCUGUAUACGCUCUGACGCCUGCCCGGUGCCGGAAGGUUAAGAGGAUCCGUCAGGCCUCGGCCGAAGCGGUGAAUUCAAGCCCCGGUAAACGGCGGUGGUAACUAUAACCAUCCUAAGGUAGCGAAAUUCCUUGUCGGGUAAGUUCCGACCUGCACGAAUGGCGUAACGACUUCCCCACUGUCUCGACCA
rnacentral:rRNA from 1 species